AGGUAAGCUUAGGCUUUUAAUAUAGGCGAACAUUAGGUUAUAUUAGCUGAGGAGAACUGGCAACUCCAUGUUUGAAGGAGGAAGUGUGAGACUCAGACACUGGAACGUUCUAAAAGGAUGGUGCAAAUGGCUGAUGAAGCAAAGAACCUGGCUUGCUGGAGAAGAAAUUUUGCCAAGUUGAGGAUGAAGUACUCAUGACUUAAGGAUGAAAUCACAUGACAGGGAGACAGUGCAAAUGACUUCUACAGCAAUCAACCUGAAUACCUCUAGAAGGAACUUCAGGAAGUCAAGGAUGACAUCAUACAACAGGAAUGAUCACUUUUUGUGAUGCUCCUGGAUCACUUGUCUGCAGAACUUCCUCCCUGGAUGUCCAUAAUGGAAGAAAACAAGUACUUGCUUGUUCGUGCUCAGAUGUACUACUCUGGAGUAUCCUAGAGUUGCUAUAGUGUAUCAAAGUACUAAGGAAGGGCAACCAAGGAAAAAUAAGAAGAAUAAUGGUUUCAGAUAUAUUAGCCAUGUGACUGGAAGUACAAACCCCCAGGCUAGAUGUUAUAUGAUUUCAGUAAACAAUCCUAGGGGACCGUGGAUACGUUAAGUGCCAUGGAAAGUAGCACAGCCUGGUCAUUUGAGUUCUCAUGUAUGUUUUUUUUUUUUUCCUUAACAAGUCGGCCGUCUCCCACCAAGGCAAGGUGACCCAAAAAGAAAGAAAAUCCCCAAAAAGAAAAUACUUUCAUCAUCAUUCAACUCUUUCACCUCACUCACACAUAAUCACUGUUUUUUUGCAGAGGUGCUCAGAACACAACAGCUUAGAAGCAUAUACGUAUAAAGAUACACAACAUAUCCCUCCAAACUGUCAAUAUCCCGAACCGUAUAUAUUUUUUGAUAAAUAUAGUUUAUAUUCAUAUACAUGCAAGUUUUACUUUCAACCUGUUUUCUGAACUGACUGCCUGGUUAUUGAUCAAAACUGGUUUAUCAUAACCACAGAUAAUGAUAAGCCAGGAUAAGUGUUCAGCAGAAUACUUAUCCUGGCUUCUGAUGAGAUGUAAAUUUACCUCUAGACCUACAUGUAGAUCAAAGUGAACAUAAUCAUACAAGUAACAUAUAGUAGGGUUAAGUGGGAAGUUACACCCUGCAAUUUGAUAGCAUAAGUGGAAAAUGUAACAGCAAGCACUUGCUGGCUGGUGAAUGCUCAGAUGCAUAACCCUGCAGCAUAGCUUCUCAGAUUAAUUACUAUGAUUUAAUUUAUUUGAUAACAUUUCAUAACUUAAUAAAGUUUGGAGCAUGAGUGGUACGAAGCUCGGAAGUUUACCAUUACCAUGGUUAAGUGAGACAAUGAACUCUGGAAUAACAACACCCAAUAAAGAAGCCUAAUUUGAUGCUUGAGAGGAUUUUUUUUUUUUUCAACAAGUCGGCCGUCUCCCACCGAGGCAGGGAAAAAAAAAAAAAA